rnacentral:tRNA from 2 species
GGGCGUGUAACUCAGGGGCUAGAGUGCCAUCUUCACACGGUGGAAGUCGCAGGUUCAAAUCCUGCCACGCCCA